rnacentral:lncRNA from 1 species
AUGAAGGUCAAACGCCAUCGACCCAUCUGGGUGAGUCCGGCCAAGGGGGGGGGCAUGGGCCAGGACCCCCCUGGGACCCGUGGACCCCCCUGGGACCUGUGGCCCCCCCAGCUGCCAGCAGGACUCCUGCACUUGGGGGCUGGGGCAGCCCCACACUGGCACCCAGUCUGUGCUCACCCCAUCACCCAGAGCCCCACACGCAUUGGAGAGGGGCUUUGGCUCUCCCCAAGGACCCCCACCCCAGGGCCCCCCACCCCAGGGCCAGGGUUCCCAUGUGUGGGGCCGUGCCCAGCGCGGUGCUGCCCCCCCUCUGCCAGAAAAAGGCCGGGGCAGCCCCCGUGCCAGGUGCCCCCUCCACCGCCCCCAGCAGGGGCUGGCACGAGGGGGGGCUGCCCCCCACCCCGCAUCACUGACACACUCGUACAUUACUCCUUUAUGCAGCUUUUCCUCCUUUUUCCCCACCCCAGCCCCAAAACGAGGGCUCCCCACCAGCCCCCAGCCACCCCGGGGCUCCCCAGAUGGGCACGGCCACACGCGGUCCCCACGGCGCUGACGGCGAGGAGGGGACACCCCACAAAGGGUGCUGCUGGGGGGGGCUCCGGGGGGGGCAAAUCCAUCAGAGGCUGCCCCGAGCACAUCCCAGCGGCUCCCAGCUGCCCGGCGAGGGGCUGCACCGGCACCAAAUGGCUUCCAGGGCGCCGGACCGAGCCGGCAGCUGAGCAUUCCCGGUGCCUUCGCAGCUGCCCAGGGAGGGGCUGGGGAGGGGACAGGGGGCUGGGGGGGCACUGGGCACCCUCCUGCUGGGUGGGUGUCACCCCGUGCCCUGUGCCGCUCGGUGCCGCCAGGAAUGCCUUUGCCCAUGCAGCUGCUCCGGCUCGGCACGCGCCGGCUGCUGGCACCAACUGCAGCCCCCGGGGCCCCUCCCCAGCCAAGGCACCGAAGGGACCGAAGGGAGCAGAGCCGUGGAAAGCCCCCCGAGGGGCUGAGCCAGGCUGGCAGCAGCCGUUAGACCUGGGGGUGUCCCCAUGGAGCGAGGCGGACCCCCACAAUGUGCCAAGCAGGAGCUGUGCUCCAAGGAUGGGGGUAGGAUGGGGGGUGGGCUGCACGGCCCCGGGGGAGGGAUGCUCCCAGCACAGGAUGGGGGCAGCGUCCUGGGGGUACUGGGGGUGCUGA